rnacentral:misc_RNA from 1 species
GAUGAAGAACGUAGCGAAAUGCGAUAAGUAGUGUGAAUUGCAGAAUUCAGUGAAUCAUCGAAUCUUUGAACGCACAUUGCGCCCCUUGGUAUCCCGAGGGGCAUGCCUGUUCGAGCGUCAUUUCACCACUCAAGCAUGGCUUGGUGUUGGGCGACGUCCUCUUUGGGGACGCGCCUCGAAACGCUCGGCGGCGUGGCACCGGCUUUAAGCGUAGCAGAAUCUUUCGCUUUGGAAGUCGGGGCCCCGUCUGCCGGAAGACCUGCUCGCAAGGUUGACCUCGGAUCAGGCAGGGAUACCCGCUGAACUUAAGCAUAUCAAUAAGCGGAGGA